rnacentral:rRNA from 1 species
GGGUGUAGCAAUACAUGCCGGCGAGUGGCGCACGGGCUGCGUAACGCGUAUGCAACCUACCCAUAACUGGGGGAUAGCCCGGAGAAAUUCGGAUUAAUACCCCAUAACAUAUCAGAUUGGCAUCUUUUUGAUAUUAAAGCUCAGGCGGUUAUGGAUGGGCAUGCGUGACAUUAGUUUGUUGGUGAGGUAACGGCUCACCAAGACUACGAUGUCUAGGGGUUCUGAGAGGAUGAUCCCCCACACUGGUACUGAGACACGGACCAGACUCCUACGGGAGGCAGCAGUAAGGAAUAUUGGGCAAUGGAGGCAACUCUGACCCAGCCAUGCCGCGUGAAGGAUGAAGGCCCUAUGGGUUGUAAACUUCUUUUGUAUGGGAAUAAACGCGGUUACGUGUAACCGUUUGAAUGUACCAUAAGAAUAAGCACCGG